rnacentral:rRNA from 1 species
UACAGAGACUGCAAGCGUUGUUCGGAUUCAUUGGGCGUAAAGGGUGCGCAGGCGGUGCGUUAAGUCGGAUGUGACAGCUCACAGCCUCCCUGUGAUAGGUCAUUCGAAACUGGCGUGCUAGAGGACUGGAGAGGAGACUGGAAUAGUCGGUGGAGCGGUGAAAUGCGUAGAGAUCGACUAGAACACCGGUGGCGAAGGCGGGUCUCGGGACAGUUCCUGACGCUCAGGCACGAAAGCCAGGGGAGCAAACGGG